rnacentral:tRNA from 1 species
GCCCCCUUAACUCAGAUGGCUAGAGUGCCGCACUUGUAAUGCGGAUGUCAGGUGUUCGACUCACCUAGGGGGCU